UGGUCACAUCACAUUGAAACACCUGUUCCCAUAUCAUCGCUGAAGUUAAGCAAUGUCGAACCUGGUCAGUAACUAGAUGGAUGACCACUUGGGAAUACCAGGUACUGGA